rnacentral:rRNA from 1 species
AUUGAACGCUGGCGGCAGGCCUAACACAUGCAAGUCGAACGAGCGGCGGACGGGUGAGUAAUGUCUGUGAAACUGCCUGAUGGAGGGGGGUAACUCCUGGAAACAGUGUCUCUUACCGCGUACCCUCAGCUGUGCCCAGAUGGGAUUAGCUAGUAGGUGGGGUAACGGCUCACCUAGGCGACGAUCCCUAGCUGGUCUGAGAGGAUGACCAGCCACACUGGAACUGAGACACGGUCCAGACUCCUACGGGAGGCAGCAGUGGGGAAUAUUGCACAAUGGGCGCAAGCCUGAUGCAGCCAUGCCGCGUGUAUGAAGAAGGCCUUCGGGUUGUAAAGCACUUUCAGCGGGGAGGCGUUACCCGCAGAAGAAGCACCGGCUAACUCCGUGCCAGCAGCCGCGGUAAUUC